AAUACGUAGGGUGCGAGCGUUAAUCGGAAUUACUGGGCGUAAAGCGUGCGCAGGCGGUUUUGCAAGUCUGAUGUGAAAGCCCUGGGCUCAACCUGGGAAUUGCAUUGGAUACUGGCGGGCUGGAGUGCGGUAGAGGAUGGCGGAAUUCCCGGUGUAGCAGUGAAAUGCGUAGAGAUCGGGAGGAACAUCCGUGGCGAAGGCGGCCAUCUGGACCAGCACUGACACUGAGGCACGAAAGCGUGGGGAGCAAACAGG
rnacentral:rRNA from 1 species